UUAAGAGUAAAGAGAAGAGAAAAAAGAUACAAAUCAUUUAUAAAGUUUUGGCCCUCUUCAUAGGUGCCUAUGUCUUUUCCCUUGGCUCACCAAGGAGUUUGUAAUCCACUAUGAAAAAUACUGUGUAAGGAUCAAGUAUAAUCUUUACAACAAUACCUUUUCAUGAGAACAAGCAUAACCCACAGAAUACCUUUUCACAAGAGCAAGGAUAACCCCUUGCCUUUUCAAGGAUUAAGCGUAACCUCUUUCUUCUUAAAGGAUUAAGUGUAACUUCUUGCUUUCUCAAGGAUUAGGCUUAACUUUUCUUUCUUACAAGGUCAAAGCAAUGAUACCUUUAGAAGGUGGAUUUUGCUUAGUAAGUACAAUGGAGGAAGAGUUUGGAAAAGCUAAAAAUGAUUUCAAAAGAUAUGAGUGAUAGCACAAGGAAUUUGAAGUUCAAAAGUAGCUCACAAGCUUUUUUGAAGAAUAUGAAUGCCUUGCUCUAACUUGGUUUGUCACGACCCGGAACUCCCAUCGAGCCCGUGACAACCGCCGCGAAGCCUCGAUAGACAUUCUUCACCCCAAAUGCCGAUCGAAACCUCCCAAAGCUCUCAUAUCAGCUUUCGCACUUCCCUGUGAGUAAUAGUUAUCAAAUAUCAUAAUUCGAAGGAUUACGAGUCAUUUCCAAAUCAAAACAUAAAAUAUUGUUUUCUAGCUCACAGGGGCAUUUUCGUCAUUUUUCGUCGAAAAUCUCAAAACUUGCUAAAAAUAUAGUAGGUAAGUAGAAAAUAUAUAUUUAGUGAUUUAAAAACAAAUUAAGUAUCUAAAACGUUCAUUUGAAGUGAAAAUUUGACCAUUUGAAUAUAAUAGAAAUAUUCAAUAAAAUAAACUAUUUUCUUGUAAAAUAAUUUUUUAUAAAGCUAUCGGUAAAUAAUUCUUAUAGCAUAAAAGUUAAUUAUAUUUAUAUAUACUAUAAAGCAAACAACCAAAGCAUAAAAUUACUUUUACAGUGACACGUGGGCCCAUAUCUAACCAAAAUGCAUCGGAAGCUGAAAACCUACAGCUUUUGCCGAUUCAAGUCCAAAUGAAGGUCCUUGUCAAAGUCAGCUAACUAUGGAAUUCCCCGAGCUUGAAAUGUGAGGAAAUGAGGGUGGUGAGAUUAUAAAAUCCCAGUGAGUAAAUAGACACCAUCUAAACUAUCUAAAGGCGAGUAAAUGGAGACGAAUUAAAAUAUUCUUUUCCAAUAUAUGUUUCAUAACAUGAAUAUUCAAUUUACUCAAUUAAUCAACAUGGCUUAUAUAUCUCACAAAACUUGGCUCCUACUAAAAUCAUUCCCGGGGAUGCCUUGGCCUAGGCAUCUAACCGAGACCCCCAAGGCAGUUAAAUGUCUUUACAUCCAAAAUUCUAGCCAUGCCUUGGCGUUGGCUGAGUCUCACUCUCACGCGGUGGUCCACGUGAAGUGCACUCAAAUCUUUACCUCUAAAGAUACCCUUCACAUGGCUCUCUGAUCAAGGUAAGGUAUAUCUGAUUUUGUGCCCCCUCUCUUAGGUUGGUCCACAAAACCUCCAUUACAGGGAUUAUGGAUUAUUUUAUCUACAACCUGAUUUAUAAAAUCGUUUUCUGUGACAUGACAAUUUAUCGCAACCUAGCCUCUUAAGGCUGAAUACAUAGUACAAAUAAUUCUAACACCAAAAUCAGUUUAGCCAUUCAUGCUCAUAUAUUGUCAUAAGCCAUUCAAUUUAAAACCAUAAAUUUAUAACAUAAGCAGGCAGUCUCCAAUUACUCUAUUUUCAAAACCAGUAUUCAAUUUUUCAGAAAAUUUAUAAAAUCAUUUUAUAAAAUCACAAUUUCUCCUAAAACAUAGCAAUUUACCAUUUAAACCCAUUUUCUAUAUGAUCACACAAUUGUAUAAAACUACUCUAGAUAAUUAAGACGAUAAUAAGUUUACUCACAGUUCUAGGAGUCGAUGUACUCCUAAUCCCAGUCUUCAAGCACAAUCUCUGUACUUUUACUAGUGUAAUUUGCUCACCACCUAUCCACAAUGUACAAUACAUAAUUCACCACAAUAAUGCUUGACCAUUAUAAAUCAAUUCAUGCUCGGUGUAUAUGCAUGAUAUAAUAUGCAACUUAUCUGACUACCGCUUAAAUGCGGUGCUGACCUAAUUCGGCCUAUUACCCGAUUAAAUGACAAUUGUGUUCGAUUUGGCUCCAAAUUGCUCCUUUUCAUUUCUAAUAUUUCAAUUUACCAAAUACAAUUCCAAUAAUCUAAAAUUCAGCCUAACAACCCUCAUAAUUCUUCUUGAAAAUUUUGACCAUUGUGGUGCACUAUCACUAAAAAUUUUCCCCAUUUUCUCACCAUAAAUCAUCAUUUCAUCAAUUUUUCAACAAAUUCACUUGAUCACAAAAUCAACUCAUUACUUCUACACUUCACAUAGGGUUCGGCCAUUGAAGGUUCAUGGGGAAAAUGGAUUCUUUUCUUGUUGUUUUGUUUCUAAAUAUGCUAAACUAACUAAAAACACUAACAUAUCUUAAAAUCAAUUCAAUCCAACAUCUUUCUCUCUCCAUACCCAUUUUGACCAACCAAGAAUUCAUCAUGAAAACAUGUAAUUUAACCAUGGAAAAUAAGGAGAAAUGCUUAAGGAAAAUGAUUUCAAGUUUAAAAUAAAAAAUCCUACCUUUUUCACUUGUUUUCCUUGAUUUUCCACACUUUUUCUCUUGAAAUUCUUCACCUAGGGUUUGUUCUUUCUUUCUUUCCCUCUCUUCCUUUCUUGGCC
rnacentral:lncRNA from 1 species